rnacentral:lncRNA from 1 species
UCAAAAUGCAUAUCUCUAGUGUUCUGUAUGUGCGUCACAUACUGGCUUCAAGGUUGCCAUCUUUCUGUUUUCCCUACUGGCUGCUACUUUGCUCUCCAUGAACUACAGGAGAGUGUGUUUGCCUGCAAAGCACAUCCAGCUCUGAUUCGGAUACAGCUGAUGGAGUUGUGGAGGCUACCUGUCUUCUGCUGCUCUGCUGCUGAUCCAUCAUCUCAGUUGCCAUAGAGACAAGAUCUGGAAGCCAUGGAUGAGCAUGGGAGAGAAGCCACCCACAGGCUCUCCGCUGGUGGGCUCUGGCAGGGCCUUUCUCAGCAGGUACUGAGAGAGUCAGGGGCGGUCUCUGAGGGUGAGGAGGAGUCAGCAGGUGCUGACCCAGUGGCGCACGAGGGGGACUUGCCAACACAUUACAUUGCCAUCCAAAGAAAUUCCAAGUACUACCGAUCCAUGAGGCUGCCGAACAGAGGGAAAAGAAAGACUUCGAGAGAGGCAGUGCACAUGGGGCAUGUCACAGGUUCACUCAAAAACAAUGAGCCUGUCAAAGAGCCUCUGAAUGUUUUAUCUCAUAAGGGAUCACCAUCUCCAGCAAACUCUGAUAAGACAACGUUAGACGAACUAUGGAUCCAAAGGCUGCUGCCUUCCUACCCCCGUUACCGUGGCAACCGCCCGGGCUCCCCCAGCCCCGCAACGCCGCCGCCGCCGCCG